rnacentral:rRNA from 1 species
UACAGAGGGUGCGAGCGUUGUUCGGAAUUAUUGGGCGUAAAGGGCGCGUAGGCGGUGCGGUAAGUCACCUGUGAAAUCUCCUGGCUCAACUGGGAGCUUGCAGGCGAAACUGCCGUGCUGGAGUGUGGGAGAGGUGCGUGGAAUUCCCGGUGUAGCGGUGAAGUGCGUAGAUAUCGGGAGGAACACCUGUGGCGAAAGCGGCGCACUGGACCACAACUGACGCUGAGGCGCGAAAGCUAGGGGAGCAAACAGG